CCUACGGGCGGCUGCAGUGGGGAAUUUUGCACAAUGGGGGAAACCCUGAUGCAGCGACGCCGCGUGAGUGAAGAAGUAUUUCGGUACGUAAAGCUCUGUCAGCAGGGAAGAAAAUGACGUUACCUGACUGAUAAGCCCCUGCUAACUACUUGCCAGCAGCCGCGGUAAUACGUAGGGGGCGAGCGUUAUCCGGAUUUACUGGGUGUAAAGGGAGCGUAGAUGGCAGCGCAAGUCUGGAGUGAAAGCCCAUGGGUUAACCAUGGAUCUGCUUUGGAAACUGUGCAGCUGGAGUGCAGGAGAGGUAAGCGGAAUUCCUAGGGUAGCGGUGAAAUGCGUAGAUAUUAGGAGGAACACCAGCGGCGAAGGCGGCUUACUGGACUGUAACUGACGUUGAGGAUCGAAAGCGUGGGGAGCAAACAGGAUUAGAUACCCCGGUAGUC
rnacentral:rRNA from 1 species